AUAAAAAUGGCGACAUAAUAUUUUUGUGAAGCCGCCGUGUUUGUUCAGAUUUUCUAAUAGAUUGUGAAAAAGAAAACAAUUUUAAUAAAAAAUAAUUAUACAAAUAAGAAAUAAUCUAUUCUUAUUCAAGUUUAUUUUUGCUGUGUGAGAAAGUUACUUAAGAAAAUUCCUAUUAUAACUUUGUAUAUUAAAAGUGAAAAAUAAAACGAAGGCGUAGAAAAACGUCUGUCUCAUACGACAUUGUGCGUAAAACCGAAGAAAGCCUAAAAAAGUGGAAAAAUGCAAUUUCAUUAAUAUUAUGUGUGACCCCGUGUAUUUUUGCAAAUGCAGUAAUCACCAUUAAAUGAAAAGAGACAAAACAAAAAAAAAAA